GCUUGUCUCAAAGAUUAAGCCAUGCAUGUCUAAGUAUAAGCCUUUACACGGUGAGACUGCGAAUGGCUCAUUAAAUCAGAAACUGUUUAUUUGAUAGUGCCUACUACUUGGAUAACCGUAGUAAUUCUAGAGCUAAUACAUGCGUCAAUACCCUUCUGGGGUAGUAUUUAUUAGAUUGAAACCAACCGCUUCGGCGUGAUGUGGUGAUUCAUAAUAAAUUUGCGAAUCGCAUGGCUUUACGCCGGCGAUGUUUCAUUCAAAUUUCUGCCCUAUCAAUUUGAUGGUAGGAUAGAGGCCUACCAUGGUGGUAACGGGUGACGGAGAAUUAGGGUUCGAUUCCGGAGAGGGAGCCUGAGAAACGGCUACCACAUCCAAGGAAGGCAGCAGG
rnacentral:rRNA from 1 species